rnacentral:rRNA from 1 species
CCUACGGGCGGCAGCAGUGGGGAAUAUUGCACAAUGGGGGAAACCCUGAUGCAGCAACGCCGCGUGAAGGAAGACGGUUUUCGGAUUGUAAAAUUCUGUUUGUAGUGAAGAAUAAUGACGGUAGCUAAGGAGAAAGCCACGGCUAACUACGUGCCAGCAGCCGCGGUCAUACGUAGGUGGCAAGCGUUGUCCGGAAUUACUGGGUUUAAAGGGAGCGCAGGCGGGAAGCCAAGUCAGAUGUUAAAACUACGGGCUUAACUUGUAGACUGCAGUUGAAACUGGUUUUCUUGAGUGAAGUUGAGGUUGGCGGAAUUCCGGGUGUAGCGGUGAAAUGCGUAGAUAUUCGGAGGAACACCGGUGGCGAAGGCAGCCAACUAGGCUUUAACUGACGCUGAGGCUCGAAAGUGUGGGGAGCAAACAGGAUUAGAUACCCCUGUAGUC